UCCAAACCCAGACCCACCUCCUGCCCCC
rnacentral:piRNA from 1 species